GAAAAGAAACCAACAGGGAUUGCCUUAGUAACGGCGAGUGAAGCGGCAAAAGCUCAAAUUUGAAAUCUAACGCCUCUGGUGUUCGAGUUGUAAUUUGGAGAGGCAUCUUCCGGAGUGGCCCAGCCUAUGUACCUUGGAACAGGACGUCAUAGAGGGUGAGAAUCCCGUUCUUGGCUGGAUGUUCACUCCCGUAUGUAGUGUCUUCUACGAGUCGAGUUGUUUGGGAAUGCAGCUCAAAAUGGGUGGUAAAUUUCAUCUAAAGCUAAAUAUUGGCGAGAGACCGAUAGCGCACAAGUAGAGUGAUCGAAAGAUGAAAAGCACUUUGAAAAUAGAGUCAAACAGUACGUGAAAUUGUUGAAAGGGAAGCGCUUGAGACCAGAGUCAGCCUUUGGCAAACAACUGUCCUUCUGGGCGGUGCACUUGUCAUUGGUUGGGCCAGCAUCGGUUGGGACGGUGGGAUAAAGGCUUGGGAAAUGUGACUCCUUUAUGGAGUGUUAUAGUCCCAGGUGGCAUGCCAUCAGUCCCGACCGUGGACCGCGCCUUGGCUCGGAUGCUGGCUUAAUGGUCUUCA
rnacentral:rRNA from 1 species